CUAAAUACUCCUGACUGACCGAUAGUGAACCAGUACCGUGAGGGAAAGGCGAAAAGAACCCCGGCGAGGGGAGUGAAAAAGAACCUGAAACCGUGUACGUACAAGCAGUGGGAGCCCCACCACUAAGCCAGUGGUGAACUCCACAUCCGCAUCCUUUGCUGAGGAUACGGUUAACGGAGCGAAAGCGACGUUCAACCGCAAAACAAGCAGAGGGGGCUUAGUGGUGGGGUGACUGCGUACCUUUUGUAUAAUGGGUCAGCGACUUAUAUUCUGUAGCAAGGUUAACCGAAUAGGGGAGCCGGAGGGAAACCGAGUCUUAAUUGGGCGUUAAGUUGCAGGGUAUAGACCCGAAACCCGGUGAUCUAGCCAUGGGCAGGUUGAAGGUUGGGUAACACUAACUGGAGGACCGAACCGACUAAUGUUGAAAAAUUAGCGGAUGACCUGUGGCUGGGGGUGAAAGGCCAAUCAAACCGGGAGAUAGCUGGUUCUCCCCGAAAGCUAUUUAGGUAGCGCCUCGUGAAUUCAUCUCCGGGGGUAGAGCACUGUUUCGGCUAGGGGGCCAUCCCGGCUUACCAACCCGAUGCAAACUGCGAAUACCGGAGAAUGUUAUCACGGGAGACACACGGCGGGUGCUAACGUCCGUCGUGAAGAGGGAAACAACCCAGACCGCCAGCUAAGGUCCCAAAGUCAUGGUUAAGUGGGAAACGAUGUGGGAAGGCCCAGACAGCCAGGAUGUUGGCUUAGAAGCAGCCAUCAUUUAAAGAAAGCGUAAUAGCUCACUGGUCGAGUCGGCCUGCGCGGAAGAUGUAACGGGGCUAAACCAU
rnacentral:rRNA from 1 species